GUGGGGAAUCUUGCGCAAUGGGCGAAAGCCUGACGCAGCAACGCCGCGUGCGGGAUGACGGCCUUCAAGGUUGUAAACCGCUUUCAGCAGGGACGAAAAUGACGGUACCUGCAGAAGAAGCCCCGGCUAACUACGUGCCAGCAGCCGCGGUAAUACGUAGGGGGCAAGCGUUGUCCGGAUUCAUUGGGCGUAAAGAGCUCGUAGGCGGUUCAGUAAGUCGGGUGUGAAAGCUCCGAGCUCAACUCGGAGAGGCCACCCGAUACUGCUGUGACUUGAGUACAGUAGGGGAGCGUGGAAUUCCUGGUGUAGCGGUGAAAUGCGCAGAUAUCAGGAGGAACACCAGCGGCGAAGGCGGCGCUCUGGGCUGUAACUGACGCUGAGGAGCGAAAGUGUGGGUAGCAAACAGGAUUAGAAACCCGAGUAGUCC
rnacentral:rRNA from 1 species